rnacentral:lncRNA from 1 species
GAGAACCGAAGAGCCUUAGUUUGGAGGUGCAGUAGCUGAAGCUACCACUAGAGGGAUUUGCAGGCCUGGAGCAGAAUGGCCACCCAGCGGCCAAGUGAGGGCGGUACCUUCAAGGAGGACCUGAAUCCUUCCUGCCUCAUGUCUCUCGCCUGAUUUCCACAAGCCCAGGGCACUGACUAGGGGCCAAAAAGGAACAGGGAAGAAAAGAGAGCCACAGGGCUGAGUCUGGCCCCCUUGGCCUCUCUGGGCUUCCCUCCCCACAGCCCUGUAGGUACACUCACUUCAAAGGAGACGGGCACACGAACCGUGUCCCCGACCUUGACUGUCAGCAAGUCCUUGGUGCUGGAGUCCACGAGGAACUUGGGACAGACUGAAACGCACAAGAGGACUGGUUACCUCCCUCCUCCCUCACAGUUGGACCCCAGCCCCAGGUCCCCAGCAAUAGUGAUGACUAGGGUCAGCUGGGGUGGCCCAGUGUCAGCUUGGGUCAAAGGCAGAUCAGGUGCUUGUGGUGGUUAAAGCCCAAAGGGAAAGACAAUCCUCUUUUCAAUAAUAACGGGGAGCUGGGCAUGUCCCAUUCUGAACGUGAACCAUGGGAGCUGAGCUGCACUUAGGCCUUCGAAGGCCA